AGCAGCCGCGGUAAUUCCAGCUCCAAUAGCGUAUAUUAAAGUUGUUGCAGUUAAAAAGCUCGUAGUUGAAUUUCGGGACCAAUUUGUUGGUCGUGCCUCGGUACGUACUGGUAUUAUUGGUUUCUCCCUUCUGAAGAACCUCGAUGCCAUUAAUUUGGUGUCGUGGGGAAUCAGGACUGUUACUUUGAAAAAUUAGAGUGUUUAAAGCAAGCAUACGCUUGAAUACAUUAGCAUGGAAUAAUGAAAUAGGACGUUUGAUUCUAUUUUGUUGGUUUCUAGGAUCGACGUAAUGAUUAAUAGGGAUAGUUGGGGGCAUUAGUAUUCAAUUGUCAGAGGUGAAAUUCUUGGAUUUAUUGAAGACUAACUACUGCGAAAGCAUUUGCCAAGGAUGUUUUCAUUAAUCAAGAACGAAAGUUAGGGGAUCGAAGACGAUCAGAUACCGUCGUAGUCUUAACCAUAAACUAUGCCGACUAGGGAUCGGAUGAUGUUAAUUUUUAAUGACUCAUUCGGCGCCUUACGG
rnacentral:rRNA from 1 species